UACAGAGGGGGCAAGCGUUGUUCGGAAUCACUGGGCGUAAAGGGUGCGUAGGCGGGUCUUUAAGUCAGGGGUGAAAUCCUGGAGCUCAACUCCAGAACUGCCUUUGAUACUGAAGAUCUUGAGUUCGGGAGAGGUGAGUGGAACUGCGAGUGUAGAGGUGAAAUUCGUAGAUAUUUGCAAGAACACCAGUGGCGAAGGCGGCUCACUGGCCCGGUACUGACGCUGAGGUGCGAAAGCGUGGGGAGCAAACAGG
rnacentral:rRNA from 1 species